UCAACAGAGAGAAGCAAUACCGCCGAGGUGGAGCAAAACUUCAAAAAUGGUCUCAGUUCGGACUGUAGGCUGCAACUCGCCUACACGAAGUUGGAAUUGCUAGUAAUCGUGGAUCAGCAUGCCACGGUGAAUACGUUCCCGGGUCUUGUACACACCGCCCGUCACACCAUGGGAGCCGGUAAUACCCGAAGUCAGUAGUCCAACCUCGUGAGGACGCUGCCGAAGGUAGGAUUGGCGACUGGGGUGAAGUCGUAACAAGGUACC
rnacentral:rRNA from 1 species